rnacentral:rRNA from 1 species
UCAAGCUAAAAAGGGCGCAAGGUGAAUGCCUUGGCACUGGGAGCCGAUGAAAGACGUGGUAAGCUGCGAAAAGCUUCGGGGAGGAGCAAACAUCCAUUGAUCCGGAGAUAUCUGAAUGGGGCAACCCAAUGGAGUUCAUACUCCAUUAUCCAAUACUGAAUCCAUAGGUAUUGGAAGGGAACCGCCUGAACUGAAACAUCUAAGUAGGGCGAGGAAGAGACAUCAAACGAGAUUCCGUAAGUAGUGGCGAGCGAACGCGGAAGAGGGCAAACCGAGAGGAGAAAUCCUUUCGGGGUACGGACUGCUUUUAAGACUGAAAGAGUUAACAGAAUGGCAUGGGAAGGCCAACCGAAGAGUGUGAGAGUCACGUAAGUAAAAAUUCUGACAGCUGCGCAGGAUCCAGAGUACGGCCAGACACGUGAAACCUGGUCGGAAUAUGGGGGGACCACCCUCCAACCCUAAAUACUACCCAGUGACCGAUAGCGUAUAGUACUGUGAAGGAAAGGUGAAAAGGACCCCGGGAGGGGAGUGAAAGAGAACCUGAAACCUUGUGCCUACAAGCACAUAGAGCCCGUCAAAGGGUGAUAUGGUACUUUUUGUAGAACGGUCCGGCGAGCGAUUGUACGUUGCAAGCUUAAGGUCUUAAGGACUGGAGGCGUAGCGAGAGCGAGUCUAAACAGGGCGUUUAGUAGCGUGCAAUGGGCCCGAAACCGGGUGACCUACCCAUGAUCAGGCUGAAGUGAAAGUAAAAUUUCAUGGAGGGCCGAACCGACCUCCGUUGAAAAGGCGGCGGAUGAAUUGUGGGUAGCGGAGAAAUUCCAAUCGAACUCGGAGAUAGCUGGUUCUCCCCGAAAUAGCUUUAGGGCUAGCCUCAUGUUAGAUAUCCGGAGGUAAAGCACUGAAUGGCCUAGCGUCCGAGAGGAUAGCGAAGCCUAUCAAACUAAGAAUGCCGGAAUAUUGAUGCAUGGGAGUCAGACAGUGUGAGAUAAAUCUCAUUGUCAAAAGGGAAACAGCCCAGAUCUACAGCUAAGGUCCCAAAUUGUAUCUAAGUGGAAAACGAUGUGGAAAUACGCAGACAACCAGGAUGUUGGCUCAGAAGCAGCCACUCAUUUAAAGAGUGCGUAAUAGCUCACUGGUCGAGCGUCUCUGCGCGGAAAAUUUAACGGGGCUAAGAUACAAACCGAAGCUUAGGCUGCACUUUUAGUGCGGGGUAGGGGAGCGUUGUGUAAGCGGAGAAACGAUAGCGUAAGCGGUCGUGGAGUUUACAGAAGUGAGAAUGCCGGAAUGAGUAGCGCGAAUGAUGUGAGAAUCAUCAUGGCCGGAAACCUCAGGUUUUUGGAGGAAGGUUCGUCCGCUCCAAGUUAGGCGGGAGCUAAGGUGAGGCCGAAAGGCGUAGCCGAUGCACAGACGGUAGAGAUUCCGUCCCCACCGAAAGAUUUAAGCGCAGGGACACUUUUAGAAGGUCGGAGCCAGGUGUUGGUUCUGGUAGAGAUCGAGGGAAGAUUAGUACCGAAGUCCGGCUGGAUAAGAGGCGAGAAAAGCUGCGUGUAUAUCUAAGGUGCCCGUACCGCAAACCGACACAGGUAGGUAGGAAGAAGAUUCUAAGGCCAACGGGAGAAGGGUUGUUAAGGAACUCGGCAAGUUGACCCCGUAACUUCGGAAUAAGGGGUGCUCAUGAAAGUGAGCCGCAGAGAAUAGGCCCAGGCAACUGUUUACCAAAAACACAGGUUUGUGCUAAAUCGAAAGAUGACGUAUACGAGCUGACGCCUGCCCGGUGCUGGAAGGUUAAAAGGAGAUGUGCAAGCAUUGAAUUGAAGCCCCAGUGAACGGCGGCCGUAACUAUAACGGUCCUAAGGUAGCGAAAUUCCUUGUCAGGUAAGUUCUGACCCGCAUGAAAGGCGUAAUGAUCUGGGCACUGUCUCAACAGCCCGCCCGGCGAAAUUGUAGUACCGGUGAAGAUGCCGGUUACCCGCGACAA